rnacentral:rRNA from 1 species
GNGUCAUUACUUUGGUGUNCGGGUGGUGCAUCUUUGGGUGGACCUGUGGGGCAUUAGCUUGUUUUGCAGGGGAAAUUCAUCGUUUACUGUGAAAAAAUUAGANGUGUUCAAAGCAGGCUUAUGCCAAUGAAUAUGCUAGCAUGGAAUAAUGAAAUAGGACUUUUGGUACUAUUUUGUUGGUUUGCGCGCCAAAGUAAUGAUUAAUAGGGACAGUUGGGGGUAUUCGUAUUCCAUAGUCAGAGGUGAAAUUCUUGGAUUUUUGGAAGACGAACUACUGCGAAAGCAUUUGCCAAGGAUGUUUUCAUUAAUCAAGAACGAAAGUUAGGGGAUCGAAGAUGAUUAGAUACCAUCGUAGUCUUAACCAUAAACUAUGCCAGUUAGGGAUUGGCAGGGUAUCGUUACGUCCCUGUCAGCACCUUAUGAGAAAUCAUUAAACUUUUGGGUUCCGGGGGGAGUAUGGUCGCAAGGCUGAAACUUAAAGA